AUGUGUGCACCGCCUCGACGUCGACGCCAUCACCCGUCCCCACCUCCGUCCGUGCUGCCCUUCGGGAUCCUCCACUGGCUAGCUGCGAUGCAGGAGGAGUUCGAUGCCUUACAGCGCAACCGCACGCGGCAGCUUGUUCCGCGACCCCCUCGUGCCAACAUCAUCUCUGGCAAGUGGGUGUUUCACCACAAGACUCGCCCAGACGGUUCUCUCGAGCACUACAAGUCUCGCUGGGUGGUUCGUCGUUUUCGGCAGCGCGCGGGCGUGGACUUCACCGACAUUUUUGCCCCGGUUGUGAAACCGGGCAUGAUCCGCGCCGUCCUUCAGCUGUCUGUCUCGCGCGCCUGGCCUGUGCAUCAGUUGGACGUUUCCAACGCCUUCUUGCACGGUCAUCUCGCCGAGCAGGUGUUCUGUGAGCAGCCUACUGGUUUCGUCGACACCGAGCACCCCGAUUUCGUGUGCUUGCUCUCCCGCUCUCUGUACGGGUUGAAGCAGGCGCCUCGGGCUUGGUACCAACGUAUCGCCGCCUUCCUGCAGUCUCUGGGCUUUCGGUCCACUCGCUCCGAUGCCUCACUUUUUGUGUAUCAUCAGGGAGCUGCCACUGCAUAUCUGCUGCUCUACGUCGACGACAUCAUCCUCAUGGCAUCCACCCCCGAUCUCCUUCAGCGGCUGACUGCUCGUCUUCGUGAUGAGUUCGCCCUCAAGGACUUGGGGCUCCUGCACUACUUUCUCGGCAUCGAGGUGAUCCGCCGGGCUGACGGUUUCUUUCUGCAUCAGCAGAAGUACGCCCACGAGCUCCUUGAGCGUGCCGGUAUGCUUAACUGCAAGCCGGCGCCCACUCCCGUCGAUACGAAGGCGAAGGUCUCUGCUCUGGAGGGGUCUCUCGCGUCCGAUGGAGCUUUUUAUCGCUCUAUUGUCGGUGCUUUACAGUACUUGACGCUGACUCGCCCCGACCUGCAGUACGCUGUUCAGCAGGUGUGCCUCCAUAUGCACGCCCCGCGUGACUCUCACUGGACUCUGGUGAAGCGUAUUCUCCGUUACAUACGCGGCACCAUGUCCUUGGGACUCACCCUGACGGCCUCCGCCUCCACCGACCUCGUGGCCUACUCGGAUGCUGACUGGGCUGGCUGCCCCGACACUCGACGCUCUACGUCAGGCUACUGCGUCUACCUUGGGCCCUCGUUGAUCUCUUGGUCCUCAAAGCGACAGCCCACGGUCUCCCGCUCCAGCGCCGAGGCAGAGUAUCGCGCCGUGGCCAACGCCGUGGCCGAGUGA
rnacentral:rRNA from 1 species